GGAGGGAUGACUCAGGGGCAGAGCACAUGCUUAGCAUGCACGAAUACCUGGGUUCAAUCCCCAGUACCUCCA
rnacentral:tRNA from 1 species